GAAAGUAAAGAAGGGCGCAUGGCGGAUGCCUUGGCUCUCGGAGGCGAUGAAGGACGUGAUAAGCUGCGAUAAGCUCCGGGGAGGUGCAAAUAACCUUUGAUCCGGGGAUUUCCGAAUGGGACAACCCGGCGUGUUGAAGACACGCCACCUGAUCAUUUCAGGAGCUAACGCAGGGAACUGAAACAUCUUAGUACCUGCAGGAAAAGAAAAUAACAAUGAUUCCCCCAGUAGUGGCGAGCGAACGGGGAAUAGCCCAAACCGUUCAUGUUACGGCAUGAUCGGGGUUGUAGGACUACGUCGUUGCAUGAAGACAUCGGAGAAGAACUUUCUGGAAAGAAAGACCAUAGAGCAUGACAGUUGCGUAUUCGUAUGUUGUCGAAGCAUAGUAGUAUCCUGAGUAGCGCGGAGCACGAGGAAUUCUGCGUGAAUCUGCCGGGACCAUCCGGUAAGGCUAAAUACUCCCGAGAGACCGAUAGCGAACCAGUACCGUGAGGGAAAGGUGAAAAGCACUUCGAACAGAAGAGUGAAAUAGUUCCUGAAACCGUGCGCCUACAAGCGGUCGGAGCUCAGCAAUGAGUGACGGCGUGCCUUUUGCAUAAUGAACCUACGAGUUGCCUUUGCCGGCAAGGUUAAGUGUGACGACACACGUAUCCGAAGCGAAAGCGAGUCUGAAUAGGGCGUAUAGUCGGCAGUGGCAGACGCGAAACCAAGUGAUCUACCCUUGGCCAGGUUGAAGGCUGGGUAACACCAGCUGGAGGACCGCACCAAUAAGCGUUGAAAAGCUUCUGGAUGAGCUGAGGGUAGGGGUGAAAGGCUAAUCAAACUUGGAGAUAGCUCGUACUCCCCGAAAUGCAUUUAGGUGCAGCCUUGUGGGUUACUGAUGUGAGGUAGAGCGACUGAUAAGAUGCGAGGGCUUCACCGCCUAUCAAGUCUUGACAAACUCCGAAUGCGCAUCAGUUUUACCUCAGGAGUGAGGGCAUGGGUGCUAAGGUCCGUGCCCGAGAGGAGAAGAAUCCGGACCACCUGCUAAGGUCCCGAAAUGACAGCUAAGUUAAACUAACGAAGUCUGACUGCUAAGACAGCUAGGAUGUUGGCUUGGAAGCAGCCAUUCAUUUAAAGAGUGCGUAACAGCUCACUAGUCGAGGAGUCUGGCGUGGAUAAUAAUCGGGUAUUAAGUUGUCUACCGAAGCAGUGGGAUCAUUGAAAUGAUCGGUAGGGGAGCAUUCCAGUCAGCGUCGAAGGCGUACCGCGAGGUAUUCUGGAGCGUCUGGAAAAGCAAAUGUAGGUAUAAGUAACGAUAAAGGGGGCGGGAAACCCCCUCGCCGAAAGACUAAGGUUUCCUGAUCAACGCUAAUCGGAUCAGGGUAAGUCGGGUCCUAAGGCUCAGCCGAAGGGCGAUGCCGAUGGCAGAAACGGUUAAUAUUCCGUUACUACCUCCAGGAGUGAUGUGGAGACGCAGUAGUGACAAUGCCGCCAUCUGACGGAAUAGAUGGUUGAAGGGUGUAGAUGUUGAUCUUGGCAGGCAAAUCCACCAUGAGAAUCGAACCUGAUAGUAUGCCGCGUCCCUCGGGACAAGGCAAUAGUGCAUGUAAUCAUGCUGCCAAGAAAAUCCGCUAAACUAAAUCCUGUAGGUACCCGUACCGUAAACGGACACACGUAGUCGGGAUGAAUAUUCUAAGGCGCUUGAGUGAUUCACGGUUAAGGAACUAGGCAAACUGACCCUGUAACUUCGGGAUAAAGGGUCCCUACCCGGUGACGGGAGGGCGCAGAGAAUAGGUCCAGGCAACUGUUUAACAAAAACACAGGGCUGUGCGAAAUCGAAAGAUCCUGUAUACAGCCUGACACCUGCCCGGUGCUGGAAGGUUAAGAGGAGACGUCAUCGUUGAGAGAAGCGUUGAAUUGAAGCCCCAGUAAACGGCGGCCGUAACUAUAACGGUCCUAAGGUAGCGAAAUUCCUUGUCGGGU
rnacentral:rRNA from 1 species